rnacentral:rRNA from 1 species
ACUAAACGUCGGCGCGGGAGCGUGACAAAUAAGGAGGAGGAAGGGGUGAAACGGAAUUACUGGUCGUAAAGCGCGCGUUGGUGGUGUUGUAAGUGGGAUGUGAAAGCCCCGGGCUCAACCUGGGAACUGCAACCAAAACGGGCAAGCUAGAGUACGGUAGAGGGUGGUGGAAUUGCCUGUGUAGCGGUGAAAUGCGUAGAUAUAGGAAGGAACACCAGUGGCGAAGGCGACCACCUGGACUGAUACUGACACUGAGGUGCGAAAGCGUGGGGAGCAAACAGGAUUAGAUACCCCUGUAGUC